UGACGUCAAGUCCUCAUGCCUUUAUGACCAGGGCUACACACGUACUACAAUGGCCGGUACAAAGGGCAGCGACACAGCGAUGUGAAGCCAAUCCCGAAAAGCCGGUCUCAGUCCGGAUUGGAGUCUGCAACUCGACUCCAUGAAGUUGGAAUCGCUAGUAAUCGCGGAUCAGCACGCCGCGGUGAAUACGUUCCCGGGCCUU
rnacentral:rRNA from 1 species